ACUGAACUUGAUGGAUGCAAGUCUCUUUUCAGCUAUGUAACUAUGUAAUAUUUGUAGGCAAAAAUUUGCCAUACAAUGGGUCGACCUGAAAAGCUCAGUGUUGUUAAAUAUGGUACUGUUGUUGGAUACCCCCUUUGCCACCAGUCAGUGGCAAAGAACAAAAAAACAGCAAUAUAAACACCACAAUAUCAGUGGAAUGUAGUGCGAUAUCAAGUAUAAAGUUACUUAACUUAAAAGACAAUAUACAGCCUCCCAAGAUCGUUAUCCACAAAGAACAAUCUUUACAGUAUAUAGAAAACCACAAACAAAAGCGGGAUGCGGCUGGAUAAAUCUAUA